rnacentral:rRNA from 1 species
CAGCCGCCGCGGUAAUACCGGCGGCCCGAGUGGCGGUCACUAUUAUUGGGCUUAAAGCGUCCGUAGCCGGGUUGGGAAGUCCUCCGGGAAAUCUGGCCGCUUAACGGUCAGAAUGCCGGAGGAUACUCCCAGCCUAGGGAGCGGGAGAGGCCGAGGGGCUUCCCGGAGUAGGGGUGAAAUCCUAUAAUCCCGGGAGGACCACCUGUGGCGAAGGCGCUCGGCUGGAACGCGUCCGACGGUGAGGGACGAAGGCCAGGGGAGCAAACCGGAUUAGAUACCCGGGUAGUCCUGGCUGUAAACGAUGCGGACUUUGUGUCGGACAAGCUAUGAGCUUGUCCGGUGCCGGAGGGAAACCGUUAAGUCCGCCGCCUGGGGAGUACGGCCGCAAGGCUGAAACUUAAAGGAAUUGGCGGG